GACGAACGCUGGCGGCGUGCCUAAUACAUGCGAGUCGAGCGCAGGAAGUCAUCCGAACCCUUCGGGGGGACGUUGACGGAAUGAGCGGCGGACGGGUGAGUAACACGUAAAGAACCUGCCCUCAGGUCUGGGAUAACCACGAGAAAUCGGGGCUAAUACCGGAUGGGUCAUCGGACCGCAUGGUCCGAGGAUGAAAGGCGCUCCGGCGUCGCCUGGGGAUGGCUUUGCGGUGCAUUAGCUAGUUGGUGGGGUAAUGGCCCACCAAGGCGACGAUGCAUAGCCGACCUGAGAGGGUGAUCGGCCACACUGGGACUGAGACACGGCCCAGACUCCUACGGGAGGCAGCAGUAGGGAAUCUUCCACAAUGGGCGAAAGUCUGAUGGAGCAACGCCGCGUGAACGAUGAAGGCCCUCGGGUCGUAAAGUUCUGUUGUAAGGGAAGAACAAGUGCCGCAGGCAAUGGCGGCACCUUGACGGUACCUGGCGAGAAAGCCACGGCUAACUACGUG
rnacentral:rRNA from 1 species